CAUCCAGCCAACUUGACACAACAUUGGCGUCAACAUGGGCCAGCAUCCCUGUGGAACGCUUUCGACACCUUGUAGAGUCCAUGCCUCAACGAAUUGUGGCUGUUCUGAAGGGAAAUGGGGGUGGCACUUAAAAUUAGGAAGGUUUUCCUAAUGUUUUGUACCCAGUAUAUCUCAACAUAAGUCAGACAUCACCAGGCAAAUAACACACGAAAAAUCCAUGUCUAAAAGUCUAUCCAUGUGUCAUGUUUGUUAAGUCUGGACAGUAACAUUUUCCUGUAGGUGGUUGGCUGGAAGCUAACAGAUGAGACUGGGAAGCCAUCUUGGAUUCCCAGACGGGUGCAGCCAAGGGCCCAGGGGACAACAUAACCGAGCAGGCCAUGACCAGAGGCGACAUAGUGGAGGUCAGUGGAUGGGACAGUGUCCUCAACUCUGGGCCGGGGAACAACACCGUUAACCACAACCGAACACAAAUCAACAUCCGGACUUACUCUCCAUGACAACAGACUGGCUGAGACCAGGGCUAGGCAUAGAUUUGGUCUGCAGGGACAGGGAAGUGUCCGUAUGUGGCGGGUGAGAACAGACACAGACUCAGCUAGCAAUGCUCCUAUAAUUGUGUUUCAGACAGAGUGAUGGCGCAUGAGGUUGACCGUCUAACAGGUGCUGCCUUCAGCCUGCCUUCUAUAGGAUCUAUCAACUGGAACAUGGACCCUGUGACAACACAGACACACACGACCUCCUCACACUCUCCUAAUGUUUAUCCAGACCUCAGACAAUGCCAAUGCCUCAACUCUAAAUGGUUACACAAGCCCAUUGACAAAUGACAGUAGUAGAGACGGAAUAAGUAAAGGUGGUGACACCAAAGAGAAGCUCUUACAGUUUUCAUUCUGUGGUAAAGCCUUCAGUUUCCCCAAACAGGUGGAGAUCCACCAGAGGAUGCACACAGGGGAGAAAUCGUUCAGCUGCCACCUGUGCCGGGCCAGUUUCUCAGACUCAUCCAACCUGAAGAGGGUCCACCCAGGGGAGAAAUCAUACAAUUACCCCAAGUGUGAGAAGAGGUUCUCCCACCAGCACCAGCUGAAGAUGCCCCUGAAGAUCUACACAGGAGAGAGGCCAUUUGCCUGUGUUCUCAGAGAGGAGCUACCUCAGGAUACACCAGCAGAAAAUGCACACGGCCCAUGUAUAGUGAAAUUCUGCAGUCCAUGAAGACCUGCUGAUAUCCGGUGUUGCUGGUGGGAGAGAUUGGACUUCUGAAGCUGCUGAUCACAAAUCCUGGUCCGGGAUCAGGACCCUGGAUCAGGAGCCAUCUCUCUUCCUUCCCAAGUCAGACCCAGGACCCAAUCGUGAGGGACAGAGACUCCACCACCACACAGAACACAACCAGUGGACAGGUGGACUGAACAACCUCAGUCCUGGUGGUCAUCAGAGAGACAGAGGCCCCAGUCAGGGAUCCAGUCUGCAGCCCAGAUCCUUCUCUUCACAGUCUCAGUGCAGGGAUGGAGCAGGGCCUGGGGCUGAUAGAGAUCGACCCUCCUGUUAUCCAUGAUGAACAGAGCAGGUCACCCUGCGCUUCAGCCUUCACAGUGGGAGACCCCCCUGGUGGGAGUCUAACAGGAAGUCUGUCUUCCCCUUCAGGAUCUCACCUAAUGCCUGGUGACUGGGUUCAUAGAAAGCCUGGACCUGGGUCUAGCGUUCCUCAGUUACCUCAUGGUUACCCCACCAAUACAGACAGGGUCAGGAUGGGCGUUCACCACGAGAGGUACCUAGCCUAUAACACAGCACACAGCACACAAUCCCAACAACACCCAAACAAUGACUAGAGGUCAAGGGGGGAACUCAAAGACUAACCACCUGAGGGUGGUGGUUCCUGCUUCUACCUCUGGUGUCACUGGGUCAGAGCGUGUGAGGCCGAGCAUUAGGACGGACGCCGGCAAGACGUACGCCUGCCCCACAUGUGAGAAGCGCUUCGCUCAGGCGAAUUAUGUGAAGAGGCACUAGGCCGUUCACACCAAGAACAAGCUCUUCAAGUGCAAAUUAUGUUACAAGAGAUUUUCCUUCCUGACUAACCUGAUCAGACAUAGGAGUGUCCACAAUGGGGAGAAAUCGUAGCCGUGUGGCUUGAGAUGUAUGCAGGGGAUGUCUGGGAACUAUUCUUUAGCUUAAAUAUUAUAGUUAUUAUGUUAAGUGUCUUGGGGUAAGAGGGUAAUUAACCACAUACCUCUCAUUAACCCUUUGUUAACUUGCUAUUUGAAAUUGGAUUGUGAAUACUUAUUUUUAUGAGAGUUGCUAAAACACUUUUCUUUCUAAACGAGUGUGCUCUCAGCUUUAAAGACAGUGAUAACACAUCAUUUGAUGUGUAAUGUUAUAAGCAGUAUCUUAUUUCAAAGAACAGCGCGAGUACGUUUUUCAUUGAACAGUGACCAAGAGCAAUUUCCACAUUGGUGUUGUUAUUUAGACUUUUAUGAACACCCUGGAACUCAAAAUAUGACUAAUUUAACUGCACAGCAUCACAUACUUACCCCAAUUAGCAUUUAAUGCGUACCGGUAACUCAGAGCUCCCCAGGUCACUCGCCUCUCGUGCAUACUUUUUGUUCCGGCACCUCCCGAUUUACAAAUGAAUCACUGAUUACAUGAUUAAAUAACCAUAGUUAUUCUACAACAUUGCCUGAUUUUUUGCAUCUUGUUUUCAUUCUAUUGUAAGGCCUACAUGAAAUGUACAAAAUGUGUUUGUAUGUAAUAAUUCUUGAAAACACUUAUGGCCAUUUUUUUAAAUAAACUCCAAUGGCUCCAUAUUGUUAGGUACUUGAAUCACACUGUUAGAGAUGGGCUUGACUGUGAUUAACAUUUUAUAAUAUUAUGUAAUGUUUCUGUGUGUACAGCAAAUAGUUUUUUCAGGUAGCCUAGCGGUUAAGAGAGUUGGGCCAGUAAUCAAAAGGUUGCUGGUUUGAAUACCCGAGCUGACUAGGUGGAAAAACCUGUUGAUGUGCCCCUUUCUGUAUCAAAGCGUCUGCUAAAUUACUAAAACGCAAAUGUAAUAAACCUUUAUAGUUUUCUGCACAA